rnacentral:rRNA from 1 species
GAUGAACGCUAGCUACAGGCUUAACACAUGCAAGUCGAGGGGCAGCAUGGUCUUAGCUUGCUAAGGCCGAUGGCGACCGGCGCACGGGUGAGUAACACGUAUCCAACCUGCCGUCUACUCUUGGACAGCCUUCUGAAAGGAAGAUUAAUGCAAGAUGGCAUCAUGAGUCCGCAUGUUCACAUGAUUAAAGGUAUUCCGGUAGACGAUGGGGAUGCGUUCCAUUAGAUAGUAGGCGGGGUAACGGCCCACCUAGUCUUCGAUGGAUAGGGGUUCUGAGAGGAAGGUCCCCCACAUUGGAACUGAGACACGGUCCAAACUCCUACGGGAGGCAGCAGUGAGGAAUAUUGGUCAAUGGGCGAGAGCCUGAACCAGCCAAGUAGCGUGAAGGAUGACUGCCCUAUGGGUUGUAAACUUCUUUUAUAAAGGAAUAAAGUCGGGUAUGGAUACCCGUUUGCAUGUACUUUAUGAAUAAGGAUCGGCUAACUCCGUGCCAGCAGCCGCGGUAAUACGGAGGAUCCGAGCGUUAUCCGGAUUUAUUGGGUUUAAAGGGAGCGUAGAUGGAUGUUUAAGUCAGUUGUGAAAGUUUGCGGCUCAACCGUAAAAUUGCAGUUGAUACUGGAUAUCUUGAGUGCAGUUGAGGCAGGCGGAAUUCGUGGUGUAGCGGUGAAAUGCUUAGAUAUCACGAAGAACUCCGAUUGCGAAGGCAGCCUGCUAAGCUGCAACUGACAUUGAGGCUCGAAAGUGUGGGUAUCAAACAGGAUUAGAUACCCUGGUAGUCCACACGGUAAACGAUGAAUACUCGCUGUUUGCGAUAUACGGCAAGCGGCCAAGCGAAAGCGUUAAGUAUUCCACCUGGGGAGUACGCCGGCAACGGUGAAACUCAAAGGAAUUGACGGGGGCCCGCACAAGCGGAGGAACAUGUGGUUUAAUUCGAUGAUACGCGAGGAACCUUACCCGGGCUUAAAUUGCAGAUGAAUUACGGUGAAAGCCGUAAGCCGCAAGGCAUCUGUGAAGGUGCUGCAUGGUUGUCGUCAGCUCGUGCCGUGAGGUGUCGGCUUAAGUGCCAUAACGAGCGCAACCCUUGUUGUCAGUUACUAACAGGUUCCGCUGAGGACUCUGACAAGACUGCCAUCGUAAGAUGUGAGGAAGGUGGGGAUGACGUCAAAUCAGCACGGCCCUUACGUCCGGGGCUACACACGUGUUACAAUGGGGGGUACAGAGGGCCGCUACCACGCGAGUGGAUGCCAAUCCCCAAAACCUCUCUCAGUUCGGACUGGAGUCUGCAACCCGACUCCACGAAGCUGGAUUCGCUAGUAAUCGCGCAUCAGCCACGGCGCGGUGAAUACGUUCCCGGGCCUUGUACACACCGCCCGUCAAGCCAUGGGAGCCGGGGGUACCUGAAGUGCGUAACCGCGAGGAGCGCCCUAGGGUAAAACUGG